UUCGCUAAGGCUAGUAUUACCUUAGCGAACAUCUGUCGCUUGUCGCA
rnacentral:ncRNA from 1 species